CUUGGUGGAUGCUUAGGUUGCUUCCACAUUUGACUGUUGUGAAUAACACUGUGAGUGGGAUUGUUGAUUUCAAUUCUUUUACUUAUACAUUGAGAAUUGGAAGGAAGACACAUUUAACUUUAUUAAAAUAUUAUAUAUUUACAUAAAAGUAUACAUAUGUAAAAAGGUACAGCUUGAUGAAUUUUGGUAAAUUAUUUUUUUUAGUUGGUUACAUCCAUGGAAAUAGCACUCAGGUCAAGAAACCAAACACUACCAGCACCUCAGAACUCUCUCAACUGUUAACAGCAUAGGUUACGUUUGUUUGUGCUGGAACACUUUACAAAUGGAAUCAUACAGUAUAUAUGUAGGAGUGGAAUCAUCAGGUGUAAUGUUCCACUUCAGCAGCUAAUUACCAAUCUACUUUUUUUAUUUAUUUUGGUACCAAGGAUUUAACCUGGUGGUGCUUAAUCACUGAGCCACAUCCCCAGCCCUUUUUAUUUUUUAUUUUGAGACAGAGUCUUGCUAUGUUGCUUAGAGCCUUGCUAAGUUGCUGAGGUUGGUCUUGAACUUGUGAUCCUCCUGUCUCAGCCUACCAAGUUGCUGGGAUUAUAGGCAUGCACUGCCACACCUAGCUACCAAUCCAUUUUUAAACAGAGUUGUUCAGUGUAUGCUCUCAUCAGCUAUGUAUGAGAGUUCUGGAUGUUCUACAUUUUCAGCAAUACUUAGUAGUUUCUUCUUUUCCAUUUUAGUCAUUCUGGUGGGUGUUGUACACAUGUUUCAGCAAAACAAAGAAACAAAAGGGAGAGGAUGAGUAAAUGACAGUUUAAAUAGUGCUUGCCGUUCUCCUUAGUAACUGCAGAACCCAAGUGGAGAGAAGCUCCAAGAUAUAAACAAACAGGUCUUGGUUCCCAUGUGCUGAGUAAGUGUGAGUAUAGUAUUUAGUGGUUCACAUAAGUUUUUUAUGCAGCCUGGCCCUUGAAUAGUCAAUGAUGUCUUCAUCUGGUAAUCACCUGUGGAGCAUGGCUGCUUCAACUCUGGAGGAUAAUCUGGCUGUGUAGACGAACACAUUAUAUGAGGGUCUCAAAUUGGUCUUAUUUUUAAGUCAUUUGACCCCAUCUGAUUCCCCUUGUUUACUGACUUUGAAAUCUAACCCCAGUUAAUAUUUCCAUAUUUAAGGUAACUGGGAACAUGUAUGAAGUGAGAAGAGGAAACAUGUGGGUCUCUCAAGUAAAGCAGUUUAUGUGGAUUCAUGCCAUCUUAGUCUGAUGUGCCAAGCCUAGACCUUUUGAUUCCAAGUCCAGAGUCUUCUCUGGCCAUGAAUCAGUCCUCAAAGUUGAGGUCUACCUUUGUUCACAUUGGGCCACUCACAUUCCCUGAGCUGCAUAGCCACCAGUGAGAAUUCUGUGAUGAGGACAUAUUUGAUUUGCUCCAUUUUUUAAACAAGGACUCCUGGUUGUUUUGGUUUUGAGACAGGCUAUCUCCUAGUUUGUUCUCAAACUCAGGGCUCAAAAUGACUCUCCCACAUCAGCCUCUGGAGUACUGGGACUAGAGGCACACACAGCUAAGAUUUUUAUGUUUUGUUUUUAUUUCUGCUAUUCUGCAGUCCUAGGGAUGAAACUCAGGGCCUUGUGUAUGCUAAGCAAGCACUCGACCGCUGAGCUUCAUCCUUAGCGCAUUCCUAGUUGUUUUCAAAUACAACAGAGAUGUCCUAUAUUCAAAUAUUUAUUAAGAAAACACAGGUAGGCUGUCACAAAACUUCUCAUAGGCAUUCUUCCAGACUGUUUCUCAGCUUAAAACCCGCCCUUGAUGUUAUAUGCAUGUAUGAAAUUUUCACAAAUAAACCCAUUUUUAAAAAUGAUUUUA
rnacentral:lncRNA from 1 species